rnacentral:rRNA from 1 species
GACAAACGCUGGCGGCGUGCCUAAAACAUGCAAGUCGAACGGACUCUUCGGAGUCAGUGGCGGACGGCUGAGUAACACGUAGGUGACCUGCCCUUGAGUGGGGAAUAACGGUCCGAAAGGAUCGCUAAUACCGCAUACGACCGUUCCGUUUUGGUCGGGAUGAGGAAAGCCGAAAGGCGCUCGAGGAGGGGCCUGCGUCCGAUUAGCUAGUUGGUGGGUAAAGGCCGUACCAAGGCGACGAUCGGUAGCUGGUCAAGAGGAUGAUCAGCCAGACUGGGACUGAGACACGGCCCAGACUCCUACGGGAGGCA